AUUGAACGCUGGCGGCAGGCCUAACACAUGCAAGUCGAACGAGUGGCGGACGGGUGAGUAAUGUCUGGGAAACUGCCUGAUGGAGGGGGAUAACUACUGGAAACGGUAGCUAAUACCGCAUACCAUCAGAUGUGCCCAGAUGGGAGUAGCUAGUUGGUGGGGUAAAGGCUCACCAAGGAGACGAUCCCUAGCUGGUCGUCGAGGAUGACCAGCCACACUGGAACUGAGACCCGGUCCAGCCUCCUACGGGAGGCAGCAGGGGGGAAUAUUGCACAAUGGGCGCAAGCCUUAUGCAGCCAUGCCGCGUGUAUGAAGAAGGCCUUCGGGUUGUAAAGUACGUUCAGCGGGGAGGCGUUACCCGCAGAAGAAGCACCGGCUAACUCCGUGCCAGCAGCCGCGGUAAUUC
rnacentral:rRNA from 1 species